rnacentral:rRNA from 1 species
CUCGUAGUUGGAUUUGUGGCUGUCGCGUGCGACCCGACACCUAGUGUUGGUGUUUGCUUGCGUCGCCAUCCUUGGGUGGAACCUGUGUGGCAUUAGGUUGUCGUGCAGGGGAUGCCCAUCGUUUACUGUGAAAAAAUUAGAGUGUUCAAAGCAGGCUUAUGCCGUUGAAUAUGUUAGCAUGGAAUAAUAAGAUAGGACCUUGGUACUAUUUUGUUGGUUUGCGCACCAAGGUAAUGAUUAAUAGGGACAGUUGGGGGUAUUCGUAUUCCAUUGUCAGAGGUGAAAUUCUUGGAUUUUUGGAAGACGAACUACUGCGAAAGCAUUUACCAAGGAUGUUUUCAUUAAUCAAGAACGAAAGUUAGGGGAUCGAAGAUGAUUAGAUACCAUCGUAGUCUUAACCAUAAACUAUGCCGACAAGGGAUUGGCGGAGUUUCGUUUUGUCUCCGUCAGCACCUUAUGAGAAAUCACAAGUCUUUGGGUUCCGGGGGGAGUAUGGUCG